AUUGAACGCUGGCGGCAUGCCUUACACAUGCAAGUCGAACGGCAGCACGGGAGCAAUCCUGGUGGCGAGUGGCGAACGGGUGAGCAAUGUAUCGGAACGUGCCCAGUCGUGGGGGAUAACGCAGCGAAAGCUGUGCUAGUACCGCAUACGAUCGAGGGAUGAACGCGGGGGAUCGCAAGACCUCGCGCGAUUGGAGUGUCCGAUAUCAGAUUAGCUAGUUGGCGGGGUAAAAGCUUACCAAGGCGACGAUCUGUAGCUGGGCUGAGAGGACGACGAGCCACACUAGAACUGAGACACGGUCCAGACUCCUACGGGAGGCAGCAGUGGGGAAUUUUGGACAAUGGGCGCAAGCCUGAUCCAGCAAUGCCGCGUGCAGGAUGAAGGCCUUCGGGUUGUAAACUGCUUUUGUACGGAGCGAAAGGGCUCUCUCUAAUACAGGGGGCUCAUGACGGUACCGUAAGAAUAAGCACCGGCUAACUACGUGCCAGCAGCCGCCGCCG
rnacentral:rRNA from 1 species